AUGGAGGCGUGCUUCCUCCCCACCGACCUGCUGGUGGAGAUCCUGCUGCGGCUCCCGCCCAGCGCCCGCCGCCGCGCCCGCCUCGUCUGCAAACUCUGGCGCGACUUCGUCGCCGAGCACACCACGGAGAUGCAGAGCCGCGCCAAGGUCCUCCUCUGGCACGCCGGCUCCGCCGCCGCCUACGUCGUCGACGACCUCUCCUCCUCUUCCACGGGGAGCUACACGGAGCUGUGGCGAAUCGCCCGCUUGCCCGGCGAGCGCACGUAUUACUACUCGGAUGAGGUGCAGCUGGUCGGCACCUGCAACGGCCUCCUCUGCAUAUGCGACAACCGCGGCGAGAGGACCGGCGGCACCGUCACCCUCGUCAACCCGGCAACUGGGGAGAAGCUGCCCGUCCCGCCGCUACCGGGUGCCGCCCAGUUCGCGCUGGACUACCACUGCCAGAGGUGGGACAGGGCGUACAGCUUCGCCUACCACCCGACGUCCGGGCAGUACAAGGUGGUGCACGUCCCCUGCAGCUUCGACCGGGUCUGCGACUACGACGCCGCGCAUGUGCUCACGCUGGGGGAGGCGGCCUGGCGGGAGGCGCCGGGCACCAAUGGCAAGAGAUGCAACCUCCACGCCGGCGUCGUCAGUGUCGACGGCGUGACAUACUGGGUCACAGACGGUGGCACCGCGAGGAUUGUCUCGUUCGACCUCGACAAUGAGCACGUUGCCGCCUCCGCCAUAGAGUUGCCUUCUCUGCCGGACAAGCCUGACGACUACAACCUGACCGAGGUGGACGGGAGGCUGGGGGUCGUCAUCCGCAGCCCCUCCGGGACAAGGGAGGCGUGGGUUCGGGAGCAGGGGAAGUGGAUCUGCCGGUACGUCCUCAGGUGCAAAUGGCAGCAGAUUCCACGCCCGUACUUCGCGCACGGCGAAUACUUCUUGAAGCUUGAGGGCAGGUUGUUGUAUGGGUACUCACGGAAGUCCGGCGUCGUGAAGGUUAGUCACAAGGAUAAGGGAAGGCUGGUUGCCAAGAUGAAAGAUGAUAACUACGGUUCUAACUACCAAACCUUUGCGUAUGUGAGGACUUCUGAGCCAUUAGGUGUUUACGAUGCAACCAAGUAG
rnacentral:rRNA from 1 species